UACGGAGGGUGCGAGCGUUAAUCGGAAUUACUGGGCGUAAAGAGUGCGUAGGUGGUUGAAUAAGUUAUCUGUAAAAUCCCUGGGCUUAACCUGGGCAGGUCAGAUGAUACUGUUUGACUCGAGUAUGGGAGAGGGUAGUGGAAUUUCCGGUGUAGCGGUGAAAUGCGUAGAGAUCGGAAGGAACACCAGUGGCGAAGGCGGCUACCUGGACUAAUACUGACACUGAGGCACGAAAGCGUGGGGAGCAAACAGG
rnacentral:rRNA from 1 species